rnacentral:lncRNA from 1 species
AGUGAUUUAUUGGGCGUUUUUGAAACCUAGUCAUACAGCAUCCACUUAUACUUGGAAAGCUUCUUUGCAACCA